rnacentral:rRNA from 1 species
UACAGAGACUGCAAGCGUUAUUCGGAUUCACUGGGCGUAAAGGGUGCGCAGGCGGCGAUGUGUGUGAGGCGUGAAAGCCCGAGGCUUAACCUCGGAAUUGCACCUCAAACUACAUCGCUAGAGCAUUGGAGAGGGUAGCAGAAUUCACGGUGUAGCAGUGAAAUGCGUAGAUAUCGUGAGGAAUACCAGAGGCGAAGGCGGCUACCUGGACAAUUGCUGACGCUCAGGCACGAAAGCGUGGGGAGCAAAAGGG